CCGUGGCGCCCGACUUGGCUGAGCCCAGCUCAAGAUGCUGCUGACAAGCUUCGGGGCUGGUGCUUGAAAGACAGACUUGUGCUGUUGAAAGCAGCUUCUCAAGCAGAUAAGGUGUAUUUGAACAGGUGACGGUGGAUAUAUGCACAAGAGCAGUUUUUGCUUUCUUUGUCCCUUUCGUGGUGAGAGCAGGGGUGAGUUUUGAGGCGCUGACUAUCUGGAAGACAUAUGUCUCCCCCACAGAGAAUCUCCAUAGAAUUCAAUUCCAUAAUAGAAAGUUUUUCUCCCAACUGACCCCAGCCAGCAGCUUGUCACAGUAACUAUUAGCUGUUCUAUACUUCAUCUUAAGACAACUUUGUCAACUGAGCCUUAACUUACAAGGUUAUUUUAAAAUCCGAUUCUUUUACAGAGAUUAUUUGUUCCAAGGUAUCCUUUUAAAAACUUGGUUUUGUAUGCUUACAGAUUUUUCUGUAAUAGAACACUUUGAUGAUUAAAUUUGACCCUCUGACAGAAAGCAGAUCCAUGGAUUCCUAGGGGUGGGGAGGGGCUGGUUGCAGAGAGGCGCUGGGGCGUCUUGAGCAACUGUCAGUUACAGUGGUGAUGGGGCGGUGUUCAAAUUUUGGAUGAAUGUUACUGUGUGUAAGUUAUGCUUCAAUAAACGGGACUCUA